rnacentral:other from 1 species
CAACCCCUGCGUUGUUCGACCGGGAGAUUCAAUUUGCGUGAACCGGUAGGCUGAACCCUUUGGGAGGCUGAGUCGUCGAGCGCCCGACGGCAGCGCCUUUGAGCGUCAGGUCGGGACCGACGCAACGCCACCCACCUGUAACGGAGGGUUCAAGCAAACGACUCCCACCGGCAAAGGUGGAGGUUGU